UACGUAGGGUGUAAGCGUUGUCCGGAAUUAUUGGGCGUAAAGAGCUCGUAGGCGGUCUGUCGCGUCGGCUGUGAAGACUCGGGGCUCAACCCCGAGCCUGCAGUCGAUACGGGCAGACUAGAGUCUGGCAGGGGAGACUGGAAUUCCUGGUGUAGCGGUGAAAUGCGCAGAUAUCAGGAGGAACACCGGUGGCGAAGGCGGGUCUCUGGGCCGGAACUGACGCUGAGGAGCGAAAGCGUGGGGAGCGAACAGG
rnacentral:rRNA from 1 species